AACGGCCGCGGUACCCUAACCGUGCGAAGGUAGCAUAAUCACUUGUUCUUUAAAUGAGGACUUGUAUCAAUGGCAUCACGAGGGUUAUACUGUCUCCUUUUUCCAAUCAGUGAAACUGAUCUUUCCGUGAAGAAGCGGAAAUUUUUCUAUAAGACGAGAAGACCCCAUGGAGCUUAAAACCUAAGUGCACUCCUAUUAACUACUUCCACUUAAAUUAUGGAUUUUUGUAUACUUGGUUUUAGGUUGGGGUGACCGCGGAGCAUAACCUAGCCUCCACGAUGAAUAGGACUACCUCCUUAUCUAAGAGCCACACCUCUAAGAACUAGCAUUCUAACAUAAAAUGAUCCGACAAUCGAUCAACGAACAAAGUUACCCUGGGGAUAACAGCGCAAUCCACUUCAAGAGCCCCUAUCGCCAAGUGGGUUUACGACCUCGAUGUUGGAUCAGGGUAUCCUAGUGGUGCAGCAGCUACUAAAGGUUCGUUUGUUCAACGAUUAAAACCCU
rnacentral:rRNA from 1 species